UUUUAUGACUUUUAAUUCAUCCUUAUCCUUCAAGUUUCAUCUUUAUCAAAAAAAUUGAAGAAAAGAAGAGAAGAGAAACUUGAAGCUAGAGAGAGAGCUACAAUUUUGGAGGAGAAAAAGCCCCAAAAGGAUAGCAAACAGCCACAAAGUUUUAGUCACGCUAAAGGAACUUUCGAGGCGAGUUUGGCGAGUUUCGGGCAAUGUUCAAAAGACGACGAGGCGAACGUGGUGAAGGGUAAUCCAUAAGAGGUACAAAUAUUCAUUUCGGAGAUCCGCCAGCUUAGGAUUUCCGCUCAACUAUGUUGGAUGUGCUCCACUAUUUUGGAGCCUAGAUUUUUGGUAUUGGUCCUCCUAUGUAUAUAUUUGUUUGUUCAAGGGUACGGCGGGAGCCCUAUCCCGCCAUAUAUUACUAUUCUUACUCUUAGAUGUCUGUGGACAUGUAUGUGGAUUGUAUAUAUAUGCGUGUACAGUUUUCCUCAUAUGCUAUGAUAGCCUCGUCGGCUUAUAUGUAAUCUUGCUUGUUGAUACAUUAUAACUCAAACCGGGGACAGGUUUACUUAUAGUUAGCAGGGGUAUAUGCGAGUGUCCAGUUCGGACACCCGUCACGGCCUACGGGGUUGGAUUUAGACAAUAACCCUAGCUUUGUGAAUCAUAAAAUUCUAUGUACCAUUUGUAUGGUUUUGUAUUUGAUAUAUAACU